UCCUUUCCUGCAUCUACGCGUGCGCACUAGCAGGCUUAGCCCCGGAAGACCUUACGCCUGCGCGGUCGAGUCUACGGUGACAGUACCCCGGGUGGGGUGCGGGCCCGUCAUGGCGGAGCCUUGGUCUGCGCAGUCCUUGCAGGCUCUGCCGGCCACGGUGCUCGGCGCGCUGGGUGCUCUGGGCAGCGAGUUUCUGCGAGAGUGGGAGGCUCAGGAUAUGCGCGUGACCCUCUUCAAGGUGCUGCUACUAUGGUUGGUGUUAAGUCUCCUGGGCAUUCAGCUGGCCUGGGGGUUCUACGGGAACACUGUGACCGGGUUGUAUCACCGCCCAGAACCCGCACCAGACAGCAGCAGUGGCCCCUCACCCAACGUGGGCUGAUGCCUGCUCAGAUCUCCCAACCCCAACCUGCUGCAGCUCUGGGUGUGUUCCUGCCUGUAGGUCUGGGCGGCCAGAACGGAUCCACCCCCGAUGGCUCCACAAAUCCUUCGUGGGAAACAGCAGCAAACGAACCUCUCAAAACUCACAGAGAAUAAGGGAAGGCAUCAGACAGCUCUCCGGGGCACCUUUGGGUCUGCUGGCUCCUGCAUUGGUUUCCGCUGCUUCCCAGACCCCAGGGACAACAGAAGGGGCCUUGGAGUUGGGGACAGGGAGCACCCAGUGCAUGUAAGGCUGGGCCUCCACUGCCCUGGGCCUUGCACUAGGUCAGUGAUGAGCCUGCCUGCACCCUGAUUGGGAUGCCUUAAGGAGAAAAGGCACACUCAGAGCUCAGAGAAGCCUCUGGGUUGGAGAGGUCAGCAGUACCUUUUCUGACUUGGCUUUUCCGCAUCCCUCUUCCCAUCCCCUGGGAUGUGACCCCCUAAUCUGUCCAUCUGAGAGAGAGACUGAGAUUGGCCAGCUCUCGGCUUUGUAGGGCUGGGGGAAGUCUAUUCUCCCCUCGGCCUGGAGUUUCUUUGGUUUGACUUUGUGGGUAGGGAGCCAGGCAGUCUUGGUCAGCCCUGUACUGACCUAUAUGGUUACUUAGCUGGCCAUGCAGAUACGAGGCAGGACGUCCCUGCUGGCCCCACCCACCUGGCCCAACCAGCGCUCUCCAGGUAGGAGCCAGACAGAGAAGAUGGUCAUUUCCCAACUGUCCUGUUCAUAUUCCUCUCAGUCCUUCUUAGGGGAAGCUGGGUGCCUUAAAAGUGGUAGAUCCCACCCAGGGUGGUCUACCCUCGCUGCCUAAGCACCCAUGGGGUGUUGGGUCUGCACCCUGACCCCUCACAGGGAGGUACAGAGCAGUGCAGAGCAAUCCCAGCAUGCCCUGUAACCUUAUCCUAAGGGCCACAGUCUCAGCUCCUUCCGACUCAGCUCCCAGGAACCCUCAACAGGAGAAAGCCAGAGCCCAGGUAGCGCUGCCCUCUUCACAGUGGCCCAGGGCAGCUUCCAAAGAUGUGGGUGGCAAGUGCUCCACAGAAACACAGGUUCCUGAAGGCACCGUGGCCCCAGACCUGACCGCGGAUGGCCAUGCUUCUGACCGCCUCUGCAGGGCCACCAGCUAGCUCAGUGUCCUGCGGGCUGUUUCCUGUUGCACGUCACAUGCUUGCCUGGCCGCCUUUGUCUGGGCCAUCUUGGCAGAAGGGUGCUGGUCGUCGGGCCGCACCCGGCUCAUUCACACACCUUCUGCCGGCAGGAUGGUCUCUGCACCCCCAGGCCCACCCACUGCCACCACCACACACAGACUCACAGCCUCCCAUUUCGUCCCGGGCUCCAUUGAGGACGUGGCUUAUUAAACAGAGAAGUACA